rnacentral:miRNA from 1 species
AUAUUGAUCGAUAUGUGAU